rnacentral:rRNA from 1 species
GACGAACGCUGGCGGCGUGCCUAAUACAUGCAAGUUGAGCGAUGAAGAUUGGUGCUUGCACCAAUUUGAAGAGCAGCGAACGGGUGAGUAACGCGUGGGGAAUCUGCCUUUGAGCGGGGGACAACAUUUGGAAACGAAUGCUAAUACCGCAUAACAACUUUAAACAUAAGUUUUAAGUUUGAAAGAUGCAAUUGCAUCACUCAAAGAUGAUCCCGCGUUGUAUUAGCUAGUUGGUGAGGUAAAAGCUCACCAAGGCGAUGAUACAUAGCCGACCUGAGAGGGUGAUCGGCCACAUUGGGACUGAGACACGGCCCAAACUCCUACGGGAGGCAGCAGUAGGGAAUCUUCGGCAAUGGACGAAAGUCUGACCGAGCAACGCCGCGUGAGUGAAGAAGGUUUUCGGAUCGUAAAACUCUGUUGGUAGAGAAGAACGUUGGUGGGAGUGGAAAGCUCAUCAAGUGACGGUAACUACCCAGAAAGGGACGGCUAACUACGUG